GCCACGAUGGAUAGCUGGUUUGAGAGAAUGAUCAGCCACACUGGAACUGAGACACGGUCCAGACUCCUACGGGAGGCAGCAGUGGGGAAUAUUGCGCAAUGGGGGAAACCCUGACGCAGCAACGCCGCGUGAGUGAUGAAGGUUUUCGGAUCGUAAAGCUCUGUCAAGAGGGAAGAAACCCCGAUAGGCUAAUACCUUGUCGGAUUGACGGUACCUCUAAAGGAAGCACCGGCUAACUCCGUGCCAGCAGCCGCGGUAAUACGGAGGGUGCGAGCGUUGUUCGGAAUUAUUGGGCGUAAAGCGCGUGCAGGCGGUUGUUUAAGUCUGAUGUGAAAGCCCCGGGCUCAACCUGGGAAGUGCAUUGGAAACUGGGCAACUUGAGUACGGGAGAGGGAAGUGGAAUUUCGAGUGUAGGGGUGAAAUCCGUAGAUAUUCGAAGGAACACCAGUGGCGAAGGCGGCUUCCUGGACCGAUACUGACGCUGAGACGCGAAAGCGUGGGGAGCGAACAGGAUUAGAUACCCUGGUAGUCCACGCCGUAAACGCUGGGUACUAGGUGUCGCGGGUAUUGACCCCUGCGGUGCCGAAGCUAACGC
rnacentral:rRNA from 1 species